rnacentral:rRNA from 1 species
GUAGGUUGCGAGCGUUGUCCGGAUUUACUGGGCGUAAAGCGCGCGCAGGCGGUUCCGAAAGUCGAAUGUGAAAGCUCCCGGCCCAACUGGGAGAGGCCGUUCGAAACUUCGGGACUCGAAGGCGGGAGAGGCAAAUGGAAUUUCCGGUGUAGCGGUAAAAUGCGUAGAUACCGGAAGGAACACCAGUGGCGAAAGCGAUUUGCUGGCCCGCCCUUGACGCUCAGGCGCGAAAGCUAGGGGAGCGACCGGGAUUAGAUACCCCGUUAGUCCUAGCCGUAAACAAUGGGCACUAGGUGUUGUCGGUAUCGACCCCGGCAGUGCCGAAGCUAACGCAUUAAGUGCCCCGCCUGGGGAGUACGACCGCAAGGUUA